rnacentral:rRNA from 1 species
UACGGGGGGGGGCAAGCGUUGUUCGGAAUUACUGGGCGUAAAGGGCUCGUAGGUGGCCAACUAAGUCAGACGUGAAAUCCCUCAGCUUAACUGGGGAACUGCGUCUGAUACUGGAUGGCUUGAGUUUGGGAGAGGGAUGCGGAAUUCCAGGUGUAGCGGUGAAAUGCGUAGAUAUCUGGAGGAACACCGGUGGCGAAGGCGGCAUCCUGGACCAAUACUGACACUGAGGAGCGAAAGCCAGGGGGAGCAAAACGGGG